rnacentral:rRNA from 1 species
AUUGAACGCCGGCGGCAGGCUUAACACAUGCAAGUCGAGCGGAGUGAUGGUGCUUGCACUAUCACUUAGCGGCGGACGGGUGAGUAAUGCUUAGGAAUCUGCCUAUUAGUGGGGGACAACAUCUCGAAAGGGAUGCUAAUACCGCAUACGUCCUACGGGAGAAAGCAGGGGAUCACUUGUGACCUUGCGCUAAUAGAUGAGCCUAAGUCGGAUUAGCUAGUUGGUGGGGUAAAGGCCUACCAAGGCGACGAUCUGUAGCGGGUCUGAGAGGAUGAUCCGCCACACUGGGACUGAGACACGGCCCAGACUCCUACGGGAGGCAGCAGUGGGGAAUAUUGGACAAUGGGGGGAACCCUGAUCCAGCCAUGCCGCGUGUGUGAAGAAGGCCUUAUGGUUGUAAAGCACUUUAAGCGAGGAGGAGGCUCUUUUGGUUAAUACCCAAGAUGAGUGGACGUUACUCGCAGAAUAAGCACCGGCUAACUCUGUGCCAGCAGCCGCAGUAAGAC